UUCAUUUUGGUAUCUAAUUAUUUAUUUUAAAUUGUGUGUGUUCCCCUUUUGAACCUCCAUAAAAUCCCAUCUUUCCCCUUCUCAUUUCUCUCACUCCCACACAUCUCAACAACAACAACAAAAGCACCAACAAAAACCACUUCCUUCCUCCAUCUCUCUCUCUCUCAAAAGGUCUCGCAUGCAUGGACGACCAACCGACCCAACUGCCAUGGCCGGCGUUUCCGGUGGGGUUUCUCCAUUGGCAUCUCCUUCUAGGAGAUACAGUCACUGAUUCUUACUAGCCAUGGCACUAUCCUAACUGAGCUUUUUAUACAUCUUUUCUUCCUUAUUUCCGUUUCUAUUUCUCUUUUUUUUUUUUUUUUUAAAGCUUUUGAAAUGGAGUCUUCUUGACCUUGUAAGACCUUUUCUUGACCUUGUAAGACCCAACACCAUAACCUUUUCCUUUACCAUCCAUUUGAUUUCAUACUCUAUUUUGGGUUAUACCCAUAUAGAGUUUGAAUACAAUCUAUCCCUAUUUCCACCCAACUCAUCUUCUCCUUCCUUGUCUAUCCCUCUUGAGCUGCAUUUUUAUUAAAUUAAAUUAAUUAAAUUAAUUAAUUAAAUUAAUUACCUAUAUAUUGAUAAUAAAUAAAUUUAAUUAAACCCCCCACCAAGCCAGCCGGUCUAAGAAGAUCAAGAAGAGCAAGCAAACCGGAGGAUCGAUGAUUGAGUUGAAGAAGAAGAAGAAGAAGAAGAAGAAGAAGAAGAUUUGUGCUCUUUUUGGCUGUGAGGAGUUUCUUUUCUUUUUUUUUUUCUUUUUUAAUACAUUUUUUUGUAAUAAUAAUAAUAAAUAAUAAUAAAGAGGUAUUGGUUUAUAUAUA